rnacentral:rRNA from 1 species
UACGUAGGUGGCAAGCGUUGUCCGGAUUUAUUGGGUUUAAAGGGUGCGUAGGCGGUCCCAUAAGUCAGUGGUGAAAUACUCUAGCUUAACUAGAGGGGUGCCAUUGGUACUGUGGGACUUGAGUAAAGUUGAGGUUGGCGGAAUUGACGGUGUAGCGGUGAAAUGCUUAGAUAUCGUCAAGAACACCUAUUGCGAAGGCAGCUAACUAAGCUUUAACUGACACUGAGGCACGAAAGUGUGGGGAUCAAACAGG